GAUGAACGCUGGCGGCGUGCCUAAUACAUGCAAGUCGAGCGAACGGACGAGAAGCUUGCUUCUCUGAUGUUAGCGGCGCACGGGUGAGUAACACGUGUAUAACCUACCUAUAAGACUGGUAUAACUUCGGGAAACCGUAGCUAAUCCCGUAUAAUAUUUUGAACCGCAUGGUUCAAAAGUGAAAUACGGUCUUUCUGUCACUUAUAGAUGGAUCCGCGCUGCAUUAGCUAGUUGGUAAGUUAACGGCUUACCAGGGCAACGAUGCAUAGCCGACCUGACAGGGGGAUCGGCGACCUGGGAAGGGGGACACGGUCCAGGGUACUGCGGGAGGGAGCAGUAGGGAACGUGCCGCAGUGGUCGAAAGCCUGACGGAGCAGCGCGGCGUGAGUGAUGACGGUGUUGGGAGCGGAAAACUGGGUUUUUAGUGAAGAACAUAUGUGUAAGUAACUGUGCAGAGCUUGACGGUAACUAAUAAGAAAGCAACGGCUAACUACGUG
rnacentral:rRNA from 1 species